AAUGAACGUUGGCGGCGUGGAUUAGGCAUGCAAGUCGAGCGAGAACCGUAGCAAUACGGGGACAGCGGCGAAAGGGACAGUAAUGUGUAGGUACCUACCCCCGGGUUCGGGAUAGCUGCGGGAAACUGCAGGUAAUAACGAAUAAUGUCUUCGGACCAAAGGUGUGAUUCCACCUGGGGAGGGGCCUGCAUCCUACUAGCUUGUUGGUGGGUAACGGCUUACCAAGAGGACGAUGGGUAGUGGGUGUGAGAGCAUGGCCCGCGUCAUUGGGACUGAGACACUGCCCAGACACCUACGGGUGGCUGCAGUCGAGGAUCUUCGGCAAUGGGCGCAAGCCUGACCGAGCGACGCCGCGUGCGGGAUGAAGGCCUUCGGGUUGUAAACCGCUGUCGUAGAGGAGGAAAUGCAGGAGGGUUCUCCCUUCUGUUUGACCUAUUCUAGGAGGAAGUACGGGCUAAGUUCGAGCCAGCCGCCGCGGUAA
rnacentral:rRNA from 1 species